rnacentral:lncRNA from 1 species
AUGGGAAAAGAGAAAUCCUGGAAUUGUCAAUCCCGACAGGGAAAAGGGGGAAAAACAGGGAAAAAUCCGGGAAAAACAUGGGAAAAUCCGGGAAAAUGGGGGAAAAACAGGGAAAAAUCCGGGAAAAUGGGGGAAAAUCCGGGAAAAUGGGGGGAAAUCUGGGAAAAAUCUGGGAAAAUGGGGAAAAAACAGGGAAAAAUCCGGGAAAAUGGGGAAAAAUCUGGGAAAAUGGGGGGAAAUCUGGGAAAAAUCUGGGAAAAUGGGGAAAAAACAGGGAAAAAUCCGGGAAAAUGGGGGGAAAAUCUGGGAAAAUGGGGGAAAAACAUGGAAAGAUCUGGAAAAAUGGGGAAAAAACAUGGAAAAAUCCGGGAAAAUGGGGGGAAAAUCCGGGAAAAUGGGGGAAAAACAUGGAAAAAUCUGGGAAAAUGGGGGAAAACCAUGGAAAGAUCUGGAAAAAUGGGGGAAAAACAUGGAAAAAUCCAGAAAAAUGGGGGGAAAAUCCGGGGAAAUGGGGGAAAAAACAUGGAAAAAUCCAGAAAAAUGGGGGGAAAAUCCGGAAAAAUGGGGGGAGACUGGAAAAGAAAAGGGAAAAGAUGGAAAAAAAGUGGAAAGGAUGGAAAAAAUGGGGAAAAUCCCAGGGAAAAGGUGGAAAAAACCAGAGCAAGGGUUUGGAAAAGCAGGAAAAAUCCGUUUAUUCCCUCGGGGGCUGAUUCCAGAGGGGAGGAGAAUUCCAGGGGGGAAUUCCAGGGGCUCAUUCCAGAGGGAAGGAGAAUUCCAGGACGUCCCCGGAGCGCAGCAGAGCCGAGCCCUGGAUCCCCAGCGGGGUCUGCAGAGAAUCCACCUGGGAGAGGGGAAAAAGGGGGAAAAGUCAGGGAAAAAUCCGGGAAAAAAUCGGGAAAAGUCGGGGAAAAAUCCGGGGAAAAAUUGGGAAAAAUCGGGGAAAAAUCCGGGAAAAAAAUAAGGAAAAGUCAGGGAAAAAUUUGGGAAAAAAGGGGAAAAGUUGGGAAAAAAUUCGUGAAAAAAAGGGGGAAAAGCCAGAGAAAAGGGGGAGAAAAAAUGGGGAAAAAAGCCAAGAAAAAUGGGGGGAAAAGCCAAAAGAAAUGGGAAAAAAAGCCAUAA